GCUUCUGUAGCUCAGUUGGUUAAGAGCGAUUAGACCGUUGUUCUAAAAGGUCGCAGGUUCGUGUCUUGCCAGAAGCA